UCAGACAUGGUGUAACGGUAACAUAGCUUCAUUGAAUUGCGGAGCGGUCCUGGGUUCGACUCCCGGUGUCUGAC